UACAGAGGGUGCGAGCGUUGUCCGGAAUCACUGGGCGUAAAGGGCGCGUAGGCGGCUUGAUAAGGUUGCGGUGAAAGCCCGGGGCUCAACCCCGGGUCGGCCAUGGCAACUGUCGAGCUGGAGCACUGUAGAGGCAGGUGGAAUUCCGGGUGUAGCGGUGGAAUGCGUAGAGAUCCGGAAGAACACCGGUGGCGAAGGCGGCCUGCUGGGCAGUGGCUGACGCUGAGGCGCGACAGCGUGGGGAGCAAACAGG
rnacentral:rRNA from 1 species